AACGAACGCUGGCGGCAGGCUUAACACAUGCAAGUCGAGCGCCCCGCAAGGGGAGCGGCAGACGGGUGAGUAACGCGUGGGAAUCUACCCAUCUCUACGGAAUAACGCAUGGAAACGUGUGCUAAUACCGUAUACGUCCUUCGGGAGAAAGGCUUAUCGGAGAUGGAUGAGCCCGCGUUGGAUUAGCUAGAUGGUGGGGUAAAGGCCUACCAAGGCGACGAUCCAUAGCUGGUCUGAGAGGAUGAUCAGCCACACUGGGACUGAGACACGGCCCAGACUCCUACGGGAGGCAGCAGUGGGGAAUAUUGGACAAUGGGCGCAAGCCUGAUCCAGCCAUGCCGCGUGAGUGAUGAAGGCCCUAGGGUUGUAAAGCUCUUUCACCGGUGAAGAUAAUGACGGUAACCGGAGAAGAAGCCCCGGCUAACUUCGUGCCAGCAGCCGCAGUAACAC
rnacentral:rRNA from 1 species